AAUAGAUACCCUGGUAGUCCACGCCGUAAACGAUGAGUGCUAAGUGUUAGGGGGUUUCCGCCCCUUAGUGCUGCAGCUAACGCAUUAAGCACUCCGCCUGGGGAGUACGGUCGCAAGACUGAAACUCAAAGGAAUUGACGGGGGCCCGCACAAGCGGUGGAGCAUGUGGUUUAAUUCGAAGCAACGCGAAGAACCUUACCAGGUCUUGACAUCCCGCUGACCGCUAUGGAGACAUAGCUUUCCCUUCGGGGACAGCGGUGACAGGUGGUGCAUGGUUGUCGUCAGCUCGUGUCGUGAGAUGUUGGGUUAAGUCCCGCAACGAGCGCAACCCUUGUCCUUAGUUGCCAUCAUUCAGUUGGGCACUCUAAGGAGACUGCCGUACAAAUACGGAGGAAGGUGGGGAUGACGUCAAAUCAUCAUGCCCCUUAUGACCUGGGCUACACACGUGCUACAAUGGACGGUACAAACGGUUGCGAAGUCGCGAGACGGAGCCAAUCCGAGAAAGCCGUUCUCAGUUCGGAUUGGGGUCUGCAACGUCCG
rnacentral:rRNA from 1 species